rnacentral:tRNA from 3 species
CGGGGCAUAGCUCAGCCUGGUAGAGCACCUGCUUUGGGAGCAGGGGGCCGCAAGUUCGAAUCUUGCUGCCCCGACCA